AGUUAAUAGAAAGACCAAACAUGUUAAUGGUAGAUACAUAAAAUGAGAUUAUUCUAAAUUAAUUUUAGGGGCUAAAAUGUCACUUUAGAUAAUUUGGAAACUCAAAUGCAAUCAAAGACAAACUUUAAGGACCAAACUGUAGUGUUACGAAUCCGGAGAGUUUGAAAUGGUUUUUGUUUUUUUUUGUUUAUUAAACAAAGAUGAUUUUGAUGAACAAAAUCCGGAGAGUUUGAAAUGGUUUCAUCAAAAGGCUUUCAUUUGAGAGGCACAAACAAAAUUAGUAGUGUUACGAAUAAAGUUAUUUGAAUGGAAGACCUCAAAAGGAAGUUGUGAGGAUAUGUUGAAGAAGGUUGCAUUUGGGAAGUUAGGCCUGCUUCCAAUCCAUCUUAUCUUCAAUGGAGACUUUUUAUGGGGGAGAGAUUUGCUCAACCUAAGCAAGGGAAUUUGGUGGACAUAGUUGCAAAUGAUUUGAAGUUGUUCGGAAGCAGAUAACAUAAUUUGUCAAAUGGAGGAAAAUUUACUAGUGUAUUUACUAUGACAAAUAAAUUUUUUUUGUACAAUUAUUUAUUGAACCUCAUAUGCUUGUUGAUAUAUGUUAAAAUAAGUUUAAACUUGUA